rnacentral:rRNA from 1 species
AGUGAACGCUGGCGGUAGGCCUAACACAUGCAAGUCGAACGGCAGCACAGUAAGAGCUUGCUCUUACGGGUGGCGAGUGGCGGACGGGUGAGGAAUACAUCGGAAUCUACUUUUUCGUGGGGGAUAACGUAGGGAAACUUACGCUCAUACCGCAUACGCCCUACGGGUGAAAGCAGGGGAUCUUCGGACCUUGCGCGAUUGAAUGAGCCGAUGUCGGAUUAGCUAGUUGGCGGGGUAAAGGCCCACCAAGGCGACGAUCCGUAGCUGGUCUGAGAGGAUGAUCAGCCACACUGGAACUGAGACACGGUCCAGACUCCUACGGGAGGCAGCAGUGGGGAAUAUUGGACAAUGGGCGCAAGCCUGAUCCAGCCAUACCGCGUGGGUGAAGAAGGCCUUCGGGUUGUAAAGCCCUUUUGUUGGGAAAGAAAAGCAGCAGGUUAAUACCCCGCUGUUCUGACGGUACCCAAAGAAUAAGCACCGGCUAACUUCGUG